rfam:Anopheles darlingi Cont6510, whole genome shotgun sequence.
GCAUCAGUCCUGGAGCUGUACUCUCGUGGGUCUACAACGUUUCAAUCGAUACGAUAUCCUGUAGCACCAUGAGAUUCAGCUCUAGUGCUUGGUAU